GCUGUUAUCUUUCAUUCUUUACAGGAUCUAUACAUUGAUCGUCCUCUACCUUAUUUAAUUGGGUCAAAGCUCUUCAUGGAGCAGGAAGAUGUAGGUCUCGGAGAGCUGUCUAGUGAAGAGGGGUCCGUAGGCAGCGAUCGUGGCAGUAUUGCAGACAGUGAAGAGAAUGAAGAAGAGGAGUCAGAUGAAGAUUUUGCUAAUCAUAGUGACAAUGAUCAAAACCAGGUGAGUCUCAUGUACUAAAGU
rnacentral:lncRNA from 1 species